rnacentral:tRNA from 1 species
UCCCUGGUGGUCUAGUGGUUAAGACUCCAUGCUCCCAAUGCAGGGGACAUAGGUUUGAUCCCUGGUCAGGGAA